rnacentral:lncRNA from 1 species
CCCACCGCCAGAACUGCGAGCAGCUGAUAAGUGUCUCGGGUAACUCUGCAAGUGUGGGGCGGCACAAUUUUUCUCAAACCAGUUAAAAAAAUGGGGUGGAGGAGUUAUUGAAAAACUAACAAAUCAUCCUUAAGAAUAUCUGGAUUUAAUUAUGGGGAGUCCACAAAUCAGAGGAACACCUAGAGCUGGUUUCAUUCCAGCUGCAGAAACAAUUGCUUUUCUUCACUUCUCCUUUCAAUAAGUUUUGGUGCAGAAUGGUCUGGCUUUUAAAGAAGUCACAUUACAAGCUGUUAUGUGCCUUCACCCAAAGGAGGUCUGAGAGAAAUACCAUCAAGAGACUCUGAAUGGAUUUCCACUUUUGGCCAUGAUGGAAUAAGACGGGUUGGGUUUGCCCUCAAACCCACACUAAUAGAGCUUGAAAGUAAGCCUCAAAAAGAUCAAGUGGAUUUCAUGUAAUUUACCUGCUCCUUAGAACUGAAACCUAAAAACACUUAAAGGAACACCAAAAACCAACAUCCAAUAACAUAAAACUCACAGUGUUGGCAUCUAAUCAUAGAUUGCCAGGUGUACAAAC